GCACAAGCAGCGGAGCGUGUGGUUUAAUUCGUUGCUACACGAAGAACCUUACCUGGGUUUGACAUAUAGGUUGUAGGGAACUGAAAAGGGACCGACCUUCGGGAGCCUAUACAGGUGUUGCAUGGCUGUCGUCAGCUCGUGUCGUGAGAUGUUCGGUUAAGUCCGCUAACGAGCGCAACCCUCGUCGUAUGUUAUAUGUGUCAUACGAGACUGCCGGUAAAAGCCGGAGGAAGGUGAGGAUGAUGUCAAGUCAGCAUGACCUUUAUAUCCAGGGCUACACACACGCUACAAUGGUCUGUACAAUGGGUAGCCAAGCCGCGAGGCGGAGCCAAUCCUGAAAGCAGGCCUCAGUUCAGAUUGCAGUCUGCAACCCGACUGCAUGAAGCCGGAGUUGCUAGUAACCGCAGGUCAGCAAUACUGCGGUGAAUACGUUCCCGGGUCUU
rnacentral:rRNA from 1 species